AGUGAACGCUGGCGGUAGGCCUAACACAUGCAAGUCGAACGGCAGCACAGUAAGAGCUUGCUCUUACGGGUGGCGAGUGGCGGACGGGUGAGGAAUACAUCGGAAUCUACUUUUUCGUGGGGGAUAACGUAGGGAAACUUACGCUAAUACCGCAUACGACCUACGGGUGAAAGCAGGGGAUCUUCGGACCUUGCGCGAUUGAAUGAGCCGAUGUCGGAUUAGCUAGUUGGCGGGGUAAAGGCCCACCAAGGCGACGAUCCGUAGCUGGUCUGAGAGGAUGAUCAGCCACACUGGAACUGAGACACGGUCCAGACUCCUACGGGAGGCAGCAGUGGGGAAUAUUGGACAAUGGGCGCAAGCCUGAUCCAGCCAUACCGCGUGGGUGAAGAAGGCCUUCGGGUUGUAAAGCCCUUUUGUUGGGAAAGGGAAGCAGCAGGUUAAUACCCCGCUGUUCUGACGGUACCCAAAGAAUAAGCACCGGCUAACUUCGUG
rnacentral:rRNA from 1 species